UGCGCCCAUAGCUCAAAUGGAUAGAGCGUUGGACUACGAAUCCAAAGGCUUGCAGGUUCGAAUCCUGCUGGGCGCGA
rnacentral:tRNA from 1 species